rnacentral:rRNA from 1 species
GAUGAACGCUGGCGGCGUGCCUAAUACAUGCCAGUCGAGCGAACAGACGAGGAGCUUGCUCCUCUGACGUUAGCGGCGGACGGGUGAGUAACACGUGGAUAACCUACCUAUAAGACUGGGAUAACUUCGGGAAACCGGAGCUAAUACCGGAUAAUAUAUUGAACCGCAUGGUUCAAUAGUGAAAGACGGUUUUGCUGUCACUUAUAGAUGGAUCCGCGCCGCAUUAGCUAGUUGGUAAGGUAACGGGUUACCAAGGCAACGAUGCGUAGCCGACCUGAGAGGGUGAUCGGCCACACUGGAGCUGAGACACGGUCCAGGCUCCUACGGGAGGCAGCAGUAGGGAAUCUUCCGCAAUGGGCGAAAGCCUGACGGAGCAACGCCGCGUGAGUGAUGAAGGUCUUCGGAUCGUAAAACUCUGUUAUUAGGGAAGAACAAAUGUGUAAGUAACUAUGCACGUCUUGACGGUACCUAAUCAGAAAGCCACGGCUAACUACGUG